UACAGAGGUCUCAAGCGUUGUUCGGAUUCAUUGGGCGUAAAGGGUGCGUAGGCGGCGCGGUAAGUCGGGUGUGAAAUCUCGGAGCUUAACUCCGAAACUGCAUUCGAUACUGCCGUGCUUGAGGACUGGAGAGGAGACUGGAAUUUACGGUGUAGCGGUGAAAUGCGUAGAUAUCGUAAGGAAGACCAGUGGCGAAGGCGGCUCACUGGCCCGGUACUGACGCUGAGGUGCGAAAGCGUGGGGGAGCAA
rnacentral:rRNA from 1 species